rnacentral:rRNA from 1 species
UACGAAGGGGGCGAGCGUUGUUCGGAUUUACUGGGCGUAAAGAGCUCGUAGGUGGUUUGUCGCGUUGUUCGUGAAAACUCACAACUCAAUUGUGGGCGUGCGGGCGAUACGGGCAGACUGGAGUACUGCAGGGGAGACUGGAAUUCCUGGUGUAGCGGUGGAAUGCGCAGAUAUCAGGAGGAACACCGGUGGCGAAGGCGGGUCUCUGGGCAGUAACUGACGCUGAGGAGCGAAAGCGUGGGGAGCGAACAGG